rnacentral:rRNA from 1 species
GGCGGUCGCAUGCGACACGCGCAGUUCGAGGAUGCUAUCGUUGCGAUGUUGUGUUGGUUAUUUUCAAUGUAAAAGUCGGUCAUCUAUUCGACCCGUCUUGAAACACGGACCAAGGAGUUUAACGUAUGUGCAAGUGAUUGGGUGUUAAAACCUAAACGCGAAUUGAAAGAGAAUCCGUCCUCGUGAUGGUGAUAUGCGAUCUGUUGUACUUCGGUGCAGCGGCGUAGCAUAGCCCCAUUCCUGUUGCUUGCAACGGAGUGGAGGUAGAGCAUAUACGUUGAGACCCGAAAGAUGGUGAACUAUGCCUGAGCAGGACGAAGCUAGAGGAAACUCUGGUGGAAGUCCGAAUCGGUUCUGACGUGCAAAUCGAUCGUCUGACUUGGGUAUAGGGGCGAAAGACUAAUCGAACCAUCUAGUACUGGUU